GCUCUCCUGUGGCUCAGCAAGUAGAGCAUUGCGCUAGCCACGAAAAGGUCAUGGGUUCAAACCCAAGGGAAAGCG